rnacentral:rRNA from 1 species
CCUACGGGUGGCAGCAGUCGAGAAUCAUUCACAAUGGGGGAAACCCUGAUGGUGCGACGCCGCGUGGGGGAAUGAAGGCCUUCGGAUUGUAAACCCCUGUCAUGUGGGAGCAAAUUAAAAAGAUAGUACCACAAGAGGAAGAGACGGCUAACUCUGUGCCAGCAGCCGCGGUAAUACAGGGGUCUCAAGCGUUGUUCGGAAUCACUGGGCGUAAAGGGUGCGUAGGCUGUUUCGUAAGUCGUGUGUGAAAGGCGCGGGCUCAACCCGCGGACGGCACAUGAUACUGCGAGACUAGAGUAAUGGAGGGGGAAGCGGAAUGCGCGGUGUAGCAGUGAAAUGCGUAGAUAUCGAGAAGAACACUGGUGGCGAAGGCGGGUUCCUGGACAUUAACUGACGCUGAGGCACGAAGGCGAGGGGAGCGAAAGGGAUUAGAUACCCUUGUAGUC